CCCAGCCCCAGGAGCCCCAGCCCCAGGAGCCCCAGAGACACGGGACAAUGGGCAGCCCAAAGCAGGUUCUCCCGACAGACCUCCACAAAUGACCAACAGUAAGAAAAAAUAAAUCCAGACAGUUUAAAAAGAAGCAUGAUGGCAGCCGCAGCCGGAAUGCGAGACAGCAGAGGGCACGUGAAAAGGCGCGCCCAGCAGCUCUGAGCAUUAGGAAAGCAGCAGCGACAGAGAACAGGGUUAGGCCAAUGUCAUUUAGGGAUCUCUAGCUCUGAACCAAUUUUAAAAGUACACUAAAAGCAUCCUGGAAUAGAUGACUUCCAUAUUUUAAGAUGAUUUUUCAUUCAAGAAGUUUCAAAAAAUAGAGGAAUUGGCUGCGUGUGAUGGUGCACACCUAUAAUCCCAGGGACUCAGAAGGCUGAGGCAGGAGGGUCACAAGUUUGAGGCCAGCCUCAACAACUUAGCGAGACCCUGCCUCAAACUAAAGGGGGACUGGGAAUGUAGCUCAGUGGUGGAGCACUUGCUGAGUAUGCAUGAGGCCCUGGGUGUAAUUCAGUAAUAAAAUAUAGUAGAGCAACUUUAACAAGAACAAAAAACGGAAGAGACACUUCAUGAGUCAAUUCUUGAUUCCAGAACCAGAAAAGUACAGUAGUAGGAAAUAAAAGAACCAGUACUUAUGGAAAUAGAUGUGAAACUUCUCAGUCAAUGUCCUUUUAACAUCACAGUUAAUUUAGAACAACUCAGCACAGUCCAGUAGAGUCCAUGUGGGCGCUAGGAUAAAUCACCACCACUACAUCUACUGAGAGAACUCCAGGUACCAGUGGCCUGGGGGGCAUUUUCACCUGGGGUCACGUGCCCCCUGCCACACUUAUCAGAUACGGAAAAUGAAAAAAACCCAAAAUAGUGAGGCCUGGGAGAAGGAAGUGAAAAAGAAAGGCAUACAUUGAUAACUUUUGUCUCUUCUAAGAGCCGUCCUUCCCAGACGCUGGCCGCAGGCAGGGAGAAGUGUUCCUUCAAACCUAGAGUGACAGUCUCUAGAAACACUCAUCUCUUCCAAGAUAACUCCUCUCCAGGUUGCCCAGUCUUCUGGUGCUAACAACCCUGAGCCAGCCAGGACCUACUGUGCCACUGUCAACCUGGUUCUGAUGGCCUGGCUGGGGAUGAGCAGCCAGAGCCUGGGACUGGAAUGGAGAGCCAGAGCUACCGAAUUUGCUGCUGCUACGACAGUCACACAGGAGCCCCAGAUGAAUUGGUCAGAUGUGGGAACGAGGACAGGAGCUCAGCAAAACUGUCAAAUACAACACAAUCAAGACAAACAAAGUGCUUCUAUUGAUUUUUUUUGGGGGGUGGGGCACGGAAUUACAGGCUUGUGCACCAUGCUUGGCUGUUUCUUUUGAUUUUUGAAAGUGAUUCUGAGUCAAUAUAGCAUUUCUCUAUAUUUGCAAUAAACAAAAACACAACAGAAACAAGACUCUAUUCAAGAUGCCAUUCGUACUGUGCUGUGAAGAUGCAUUCAGUCCUGGCUUUCUGGAGAUGCUGCUUUAGAGGAACUGGGCCCCCAA